CCUACGGGUGGCUGCAGUGAGGAAUAUUGGUCAAUGGACGAGAGUCUGAACCAGCCAAGUAGCGUGAAGGAUGACUGCCCUAUGGGUUGUAAACUUCUUUUAUAUGGGAAUAAAAUGGUCCACGUGUGGGAUUUUGUAUGUACCAUAUGAAUAAGGAUCGGCUAACUCCGUGCCAGCAGCCGCGGUAAUACGGUGGAUCCGAGCGUUAUCCGGAUUUAUUGGGUUUAAAGGGAGCGUAGGUGGAUUGUUAAGUCAGUUGUGAAAGUUUGGGGCUCAACCGUAAAAUUGCAGUUGAAACUGGCAGUCUGGAGGACAGUAGAGGUGGGCGGAAUGCGUGGUGUAGCGGUGAAAUGCUUAGAUAUCACGAAGAACCCCGAUUGCGAAGGCAGUUCACUGGACUGUAACUGACACUGAGGCUCGAAAGUGUGGGUAUCGAACAGGAUUAGAUACCCGGGUAGUC
rnacentral:rRNA from 1 species